rnacentral:rRNA from 1 species
UUAAAUGGGGACUAGUAUCAACGGCAUCACGAGGGUCCCACUGUCUCCCCCCUCCAAUCAGUGAAACUGAUCUCCCCGUGAAGAAGCGGGGAUAAGUAUAUUAGACGAGAAGACCCCAUGGAGCUUUAAACCCGACAGCACCCACUUAUUUAACACCUUCUUAUCCGCCUGGCCCCUGUCUGCUCGGUUUUGGGUUGGGGUGACCGCGGAGCAUAAAAUAGCCUCCACGAAAGAAGGGAUGAUUCCCUCAUUUUAGAACUACACUUCCAAAGACUAACAAAUUAAUUUUAAGUGAUCCGAUACCCGUAUUCGAUCAACGAACCAAGUUACCCCUGGG